GUCUACGGCCAUACCACCCCGAACGCGCCCGAUCUCGUCUGAUCUUGGAAGCUAAGCAGGGUCAGGCCUGGUUAGUACUUGGAUGGGAAAGAGAAAUCUCGGCCACUGUAGGCU
rnacentral:rRNA from 1 species